GACGAACGCUGGCGGCGUGCUUAACACAUGCAAGUCGAACGAAGUGGCGAACGGGUGAGUAAUACGUGAGUAACCUGCCCUCCUUUUUGGGAUAAGCCUGGGAAACUGGGUCUAAUACCGGAUAGUGUGGGAUGGGCCCGCGGCCUAUCAGCUUGUUGGUGGGGUAAUGGCCUACCAAGGCGGCGACGGGUAGCCGGCCUGAGAGGGUGGACGGCCACAUUGGGACUGAGACACGGCCCAGACGCCUACGGGAGGCAGCAGUGGGGAGUAUUGCACAAUGGGCGGAAGCCUGAUGCAGCGACGCCGCGUGGGGGAUGACGGCCUUCGGGUUGUAAACUCCUUCCACCAUCGACGCGGUAGAUGGAGAAGAAGCACCGGCUAACUACGUGCCAGCAGCCGCGGUAAUUC
rnacentral:rRNA from 1 species